rnacentral:rRNA from 1 species
GAUGAACGCUGGCGGCGUGCUUAACACAUGCAAGUCGAACGGGAUCCCGGGGGUUCGCUCCCGGGUGAGAGUGGCGAACGGGUGAGUAAUGCGUGACCGACCUGCCCCAUACACCGGAAUAGCUCCUGGAAACGGGUGGUAAUGCCGGAUGCUCCGGUUGGAUGCAUGUCCUUCCGGGAAAGAUUCCAUCGGUAUGGGAUGGGGUCGCGUCCUAUCAGCUUGAUGGCGGGGUAACGGCCCACCAUGGCUUCGACGGGUAGCCGGCCUGAGAGGGCGACCGGCCACAUUGGGACUGAGAUACGGCCCAGACUCCUACGGGAGGCAGCAGUGGGGAAUAUUGCACAAUGGGCGCAAGCCUGAUGCAGCGACGCCGCGUGCGGGAUGGAGGCCUUCGGGUUGUAAACCGCUUUUGAUCGGGAGCAAGCCCUUCGGGGUGAGUGUACCUUUCGAAUAAGCACCGG